AACGAAUCCGCAAGCCCAUAACAUUGUGUUAGGACGAAGUUAAAGAAAAUGGCACAAACAUAGAAGAAAAACUUUAUAAAUCCCUUGUACUUGUUUGUGUUUUGAUAGAGAGAAACGAAAUAGGAAAACAAGAAAACUAAGUUCUUUCCUUUUGCUUCAUUUAUUAAUGAAAUAACAAGAACACAAGAAACAGGUACAACUUCGUCUUUCUUCAACACUUAACUCCUUCGACAUAUUUUCCUUCCUAUCUUUCUAAUUUCCCAAGUUACUUUUUGCAAGGCACCUUCUUUGAGGGUUCGAAACCAAAAGGCCCAACAGUGAAGACAUCAUAUGUGGGGGGUUUUACAGGGAGAGAGCUAGCUGCUGGUGGCUUGGGAAGUGGGGUGUAUUUCAACAAAGCACCAGAUUUUCCACCAUUGUAAUCUGUUGGGACAUCGCAAUAAGUAUUGUUUGAUGAGACCAAGAACACCUUGCAUUUGUGGUAAGCUCCUGAGGACAAGAGUUUGGGCAUGAUCCAGAAGAAACCAUUCUUGUCUGUCUUGCCCUGUUCCACUAAUGUCUUCUUUGUGUUGUUGCAUACUAGCUUCACUACCGCUCCUGCAAUGACAUCAUAUCCAAACAAUCAGUAUCCCUUAAGGUGGCGAAAACGGAAUGUUAUAACGUAAAUAAAAAUGUUACAAUAUCAUGUCACCUAAAAGAUAACUAUAUAUAAUUACCCAUAAUUAUAAGUGUCAAUAAGGAGGCAGCCUACUACAACAGAUUGAUGGUGUGUAGAAAUUACUUACAGUGUCAAUGUGUCAUGGUAUAUAUUUAAAUCUAUAAUUUCGAGGGUAAAUAACUACUGUUCAGUGUGCACAUAAGAUAUGUAUUAGUACAUUCUAUAUGACUAUAUUAAUAGCUAUACCAACAUCAAUACUCUCAAAUCAAAAGACAAAACAAAUUCAGCUCAAAAUACUAAGAAAUCGUUAGAAACAUAUGUAUUAGUUAAAGUUUGAUGUGGUAGAGUUUUGAAAAUCGAAAAAUGACUACUCUUUUUGGCAAAAUGCCUUCUCCGUCGGAAUGCAUUAUUAGCCUUUCCUAUAGUAUAAAAUCUCGCCAAAUAUCUUUUGCGACAUUGAAUAGGGCAUAUUAUGAGCUCCUUGGUAAACCGCAAAGUAAAAUGACAUAAGUAAUAUAUAUAAUACUCCUUGAUAUGUUCAUGAAUUGCAUAAAAUGUUAACCAAAAUAAAAUGAAGUACUAAAAAAGAAGGAUAUUGAACAAACCCAGGAGUGGGGAAGCUUGGUUUAGAGUUUUAACCCCUCUAAACUUGCACGGUUUGCAGUAAACAAGGCCACGUACAGCUACAGGUUUCCUAGUAAUAGGAGCAGGAUAAGGUGAUGGUGUUGGUGGUUUAACUGGUGGCUUAGCUGGUGGUUUUGAUGGACUAUAAGUGGGAGGCUUAGUUGGUGGUUUAACUGGCGGCUUAGCUGGUGGUUUUGAUGGACUGUAAGUGGGAGGUUUAGUUGGUGGUUUUGAAGGAGUAUAAGAUGGUGAAGGGGCUGGGGAAUAUUUGGGGUGGUGGUAGCCUUUGUGAGCUUUAGGGGCUUCAGCUGGUGGAAAGUGGCCAUGAUGUUUGUCUAUAAACCAACCCCCAAUGCCUUCCUC
rnacentral:lncRNA from 1 species